rnacentral:rRNA from 1 species
GACGAACGCUGGCGGCGUGCUUAACACAUGCAAGUCGAACGGAAAGGCCCUGCUUUUGUGGGGUGCUCGAGUGGCGAACGGGUGAGUAACACGUGAGUAACCUGCCCUUGACUUUGGGAUAUCUUCAGGGAACUCGGGCUAAUACCGGAUAGGAGCUCCUGCUCCACGGUGGGGGUUGGAAAGUUUCGGCGGUUUGGGAUGGACUCGCGGCUUAUCAGCUUGUUGGUGGAGUAGUGGCUUACCAAGGCUUUGACGGGUAGCCGGCCUGGGAGGGUGACCGGGCUCAUUGGGCCUGAGAGACGGCCCAGUCUCCUACGGGAGGCAGCAGUGGGGAAUAUUGCACAAUGGGCGGACGCCUGAGGCAGCAACGCCGCGUGCGGGAUGACCGCCUUCGGGUUGUAAACCGCUUUCGCCUGUGACGAAGCGUGAGUGACGGUAACGGGUAAAGAAGCACCGGCUAACUACGUG